rnacentral:rRNA from 1 species
UACGUAGGGUGCGAGCGUUGUCCGGAAUUAUUGGGCGUAAAGAGCUCGUAGGCGGUUUGUCGCGUCUGCUGUGAAAAACCCGCAGCUCAACUGUGGGCUUGCAGCUGAUACGGGCAGGCUAGAAUUCGGUAGGGGAGACUGGAAUUCCUGGUGUAGCGGUGAAAUGCGCAGAUAUCAGGAGGAACACCAAUGGCGAAGGCAGCUCGCUGGGGACGUGACUGACGCUGAGACGCGAAAAGCGUGGGGGAGCAAACAGG